AAUGAAUAGGCUAGGGUGAGAUAGCUCAGAGGGCUCUUUGGGACAACCAGAAGGCACUAUGAGGGCAUUUUGGGGGGUUCUGGAGGACAGGUGUACAGUUUUGUCCAGGACCCACACUAGGAUUGGGUGUGUGGGUGUGAGGACAUUACCACUCCUAAUACUGAUUAACAUGCUUGGAAUUAGUCACUGACCCACUUCUGCAAAGAUCCAAGCUGAAUAAGGCACUCCUUCCACUGUAGAGGAUAAAGCCCUUCAAGACUCCCAAGUAACUGAAUGCCUACACUCUGUUUAACAAAGUGGGAAGCCACUUUGUACAUUCAGCCAAAGUAAGCAUUCCAUUCCUUUGAGUGGCAGUGGAUUCAUUGAAAUUGGUAAUUUGUUGCAAUUAAUGUUUGCCUGGCUUUUCUUCAGUUCAUUUCUCCACAUAUGCAGAGCCAUUAUUCUAAUUAGUCACAAUAAUAAUCUUUGGUCUAGGAGAAGAAAGAGAAACAAGAUUUUGGCCCAGAACAGAAAACCAGCCGGUAGGACAUAGUGGGGAAAACUGAGAGAACGCAUAGGUUCAAGCCUAAUCUUUGAUUCUUAAUAGUCAUUGGAAGCUGGACAGGGUAGAGGGAACAAAAUAUUAGAGUUGGAAGAAAACUAAUUUUGGAGUCCAACACAGUCCAACUGAAUUGAUUCAGACUGAAAGAUGAAAUAACUUGCCUGAAAUACCUGAGCCAAAGAGACAAAUUAUCAGGAUUCCAAGUGCAUUGCGCUUUCCAUUAUACCAAACUAUCUCUAUGAACCUCAGGCUCCUCAUCUGUAAAAUGGGAACAAGAUUUGCACAGGGUUACUGGUGAAAAAGUGCCUACUCUGUAUAAAGCAUUGAUACAAAGACAAAUUUUUAAAAAUCCAAUUCCUGCCUUUAGGAAGUUUACAUUCUUUUGGGGGUACAGCAUGCAAAUAAGAUUGUACCAGAUAACUUGAAAAGAGAGGAGAAUUAGCUAGAGGGCUAUAGGAAGUCUUCCAGUAGAAUGAAAACAAACUUAAGGUCCCAACAGUCUACUCUUUAUGAAUCAAUGGCUCCUUUCUUUCUUCAUCAUAUUGGAGUGAAGAGGAAGAGAGAGAAUUCCUAUUAAUCUUUUGGACAAGGUGCUAAUAAAAUUGAGUUAAUAACUACUGCAUGCAUAGAAUCCCCAAAACAUGGAUCCAUUUAUUCAGAGUAAGAAGAAAUUUAUUAUUUUUUUCACAAUUAUGUAAAAUUUAGAGUUGGAAGAGUCCUUAAAGCAUAUCUAGUUCAAUACCUUUAUUUUAUAAAUGACAUAAGUAAAUACCAGAAAGAUGAAAUGAUUACCAUAUUAAAACAAGUUAGAAGUAGCAGAUUUAGAAUUUGAACUUAAGUCUUCCAACCCCAAAUCUGGUACUCAUGCUUUUCCACCUUCCCCUUUAAGUGGAAGAGGAGUAGGGGAACAGGAAUAAAAAUCUUUGGUUUGAGUUAUUUAUGGCUUAAGUUGUCAUUUCAAACUUGAUUUGGAAAAUUAUGAAAUCUCUUAUUUAGUAGCAGGUCUUUCUGAAGGAGUCACCAAGCUCACUUCUUCCUUCAAACUGUUCCUUAUUCCUGGGAUCAUGCACCCUCACCUUACCUCCACUUUUCAGAAUCCUCAUCUCCUUUCAAGGUUGCAUUCAGGAGUUAUCUUUUUAAUGAAACCUUUUCUUGUCUCUUUUACCCUCCUUGAUACUCUUUCCUUCAAAUAUUCUUAGAUUUCUAGAUCUGGAAUGUUCCCUUUAACCAUUUUACUUUCUUUGUAUUCAGGAAUUAAAUAAAUGUUUUAUCUGUGCUUCAAUCCCACCUCACUUGUAUUCCCAGUGGAAUGUAAUCUUGACAGAACUGGUUUUUCUUUUUUGAAUUUGAACCUCCAAUACCUAAAAGAAUGUCUAUUUAUUAAUUUUAUAUUUAAAUGAUAUUACAUAUAUACAUAUGAAAAUUUUUAUGUUCUAGUCUCUUCAUUAGAAUGCAAUAUCAUUGCGAACAGGGAUCAUUUCAUUCUUGUACUUGGACUCUUAAUAUCUAGCACAGUGACUAGCUCAUAAUUGCCAACAACAAAUAAAUAAUUGUUGAUUGAUUGAUUAUAUAUAGUAGGUACUUGAUGAAUGCUUAUUAAACUUAACAUAAUUACUUAAACAUUAAUGAGUGACAGGAACUGAGUUAUUACUAUUUUUCAGGCUUGGCUCCCGUUUGGUCUCCCCAGUGAUGCUCAGCUAUGAUGCUCAUUCCAAUCCUGCAUGAGAAGUUUCGGUUCUCAGUUUACUUCUUUGGUUCUACACUUCCCAAACCAAGGCUCAUUCUCUGGAUAGAGAAGAUACAAGCAAAGGGUGUGGGAGGAAACCUAGAUAAAGGUAAGAAAAAAUUUCCCUUUUCAUCCCAAGACUUUUCCCAAGAGUACUCUGUAUUUUUGUUACUGGUUUUAAUUAAUGUGUUUUGGCUUCUGUAUCACAUUCCAGUAGACCUCUUCAGGAAACAGGUGCCUUUCCUGGGUAAUAACGAAGAAUUUAAAUCCAGUCAUCAUGUACAUAUAAUCUCAAAUGUUCACACUUAGAAUUAUAGAAUCUUAGAACUAGUAGGGGUCACACAGGUCACUGAAUCAAGCCUUUGAUAACCUUAUUGAUCUCCCACAGCCUCAUAGUCACAGAACGUCCCAACACUUCAUGCUUUUGGCUUGAUCUCAUCAUAUCCAGAAGAGCUCAGUGCUAAUUGCAGACUUGGGGUUUUUGCUGAGAACUUCCUCUUUUAAGAAGUUUAUAUAGUUAAAAAAAUUUUUAUGAAAUAAGAGCAAUCCACUGUCAAUUUAUUUCUGAAAGACACCAGAGUUAGCUCUUUUUAAUCUGGACAAGCGCCAUGAUUUCCUAAGGAUUGAGUAUCCAUUAACUUGAAUGUUCCAUUGCUAGGUGCAAAGCACAACCUUCCACUUUCCCCCAUGCCCUCAAAGAUCAUCCUUUUUGAGUAGCUGUAGUUAAAAACCUUCAAGUAUUGGUGAGCAAACCUCUGAUAAUGAGCCUUCCUGCUCUUAUUAAGGCUAGUUUUAAGUCCAUGGUUAUAAGGUCUUUUGUAAACCAUAUUGAAAGCCCUUUCUAGCUUGGUAGAAAUGGUCAGAAACUCUCUUCUAUUGGUAUAACACUGGAAGUCAUCUCCGCAGUGCUCAAUAUAAUUCACUCUAAAAAACACCGAGUGUUUAUUUAGUGCACACUUACAGGCAGAUAGGUGUAGCAAUGGAUAGAGAACCAGAUCUGGAAUUAUGAA